rnacentral:rRNA from 1 species
GUGAGGAAUAUUGCGCAAUGGAGGCAACUCUGACGCAGCCAUGCCGCGUGCAGGAAGAAGGCGCUACGCGUUGUAAACUGCUUUUAACCGGGAAGAAACCCCAGGACGUGUCCUGGGUUGACGGUACCGGAGGAAUAAGCACCGGCUAACUUCGUGCCAGCAGCCGCGGUAAUACGAAGGGUGCAAGCGUUAUCCGGAUUCAUUGGGUUUAAAGGGUGCGUAGGCGGAACGUUAAGUCAGUGGUGAAAUCCUGCAGCUUAACUGUAGACUUGCCAUUGAUACUGGCACUCUUGAGUGCGCUUGAAGUGAGCGGGAUGUAACGUGUAGCGGUGAAAUGCUUAGAUAUGGCACAGAACACCAAUUGCGAAGGCAGCUCACUAAGGCGAUACUGACGCUGAGGCACGAAAGCGUGGGGAUCGAACAGGAUUAGAUACCCGUGUAGUCC